rnacentral:rRNA from 1 species
GAUGAACGCUGGCGGCGUGCCUAAUACAUGCAAGUCGAGCGAACAGGCGAGGAGCUUGCUCCUCUGACGUUAGCGGCGGACGGGUGAGUAACACGUGGAUAACCUACCUAUAAGACUGGGAUAACUUCGGGAAACCGGAGCUAAUACCGGAUAAUAUAUUGAACCGCAUGGUUCAAUAGUGAAAGACGGUUUUUGUUUCACUUAUGGAUGGAUCCGCGCCGCAUUAGCUAGUUGGUAAGGUAACGGCUUACCAAGGCAACGAUGCGUAGCCGACCUGAGAGGGUGAUCGGCCACCCUAGAACUGAGACACGGCCCAGCCUCCUACGGGAGGCAGCAGUAGGGAAUCUUCCGCAAUGGGCGAAAGCUUGACGGAGCAACGCCGCGUGAGUGAUGAAGGUCUUCGGAUCGUAAAACUCUGUUAUUAGGGAAGAACCAAUGUGUAAGUAACUAUGCACGUCUUGACGGUACCUAAUCAGAAAGCCCCGGCUAACUACGUG